rnacentral:rRNA from 1 species
UACGGAGGAUGCGAGCGUUAUCCGGAUUUAUUGGGUUUAAAGGGUGCGUAGGCGGACGCUUAAGUCAGCGGUAAAAUUGCGGGGCUCAACCUCGUCGAGCCGUUGAAACUGGGUGCCUUGAGUGGGCGAGAAGUACGCGGAAUGCGUGGUGUAGCGGUGAAACGCAUAGAUAUCACGCAGAACUCCGAUUGCGAAGGCAGCGUACCGGCGCCCAACUGACGCUGAAGCACGAAGGCGUGGGUAUCGAACAGG